rnacentral:rRNA from 1 species
AUUGAACGCUGGCGGCAGGCCUAACACAUGCAAGUCGGACGGUAGCACAGAGGAGCUUGCUCCUCGGGUGACGAGUGGCGGACGGGUGAGUAAUGUCUGGGGAUCUGCCCGAUAGAGGGGGAUAACCACUGGAGACGGUGGCUAAUACCGCAUAACGUCGCAAGACCAAAGAGGGGGACCUUCGGGCCUCUCACUAUCGGAUGAACCCAGAUGGGAUUAGCUAGUAGGCGGGGUACGGCCCACCUAGGCGACGAUCCCUAGCUGGUCUGAGAGGAUGACCAGCCACACUGGAACUGAGACACGGUCCAGACUCCUACGGGAGGCAGCAGUGGGGAAUAUUGCACAAUGGGCGCAAGCCUGAUGCAGCCAUGCCGCGUGUAUGAAGAAGGCCUUCGGGUUGUAAAGUACUUUCAGCGGGGAGGAAGGCGAUGUGGUUAAUAACCGCAUUGAUUGACGUUACCCGCAGAAGAAGCACCGGCUAACUCCGUGCCAGCAGCCGCGGUAA